GGACAGGAGGUUUAGUAAUGGGUAGUUAUAGAGGACAGGAGGUUAUAGAGGACAGGAGGUUAUAGGGGACAGGAGGUUUAAUAAUGGGUACUUAUAGAGGACAGGAGGUUUAAUAAUGGGUAGUUAUAGAGGACAGGAGGUUUAGUAAUGGGCAGUUAUGGGGGACAGGAGGUUUAGUAAUGGGCAGUUAUGGGGGACAGGAGGUUUAGUAAUGGGCAGUUAUAGAGGACAGGAGGUUUAGUAAUGGGCAGUUAUGGGGGACAGGAGGUUUAGUAAUGGGCAGUUAUGGGGGACAGGAGGUUUAGUAAUGGGCAGUUAUAGAGGACAGGAGGUUUAGUAAUGGGCAGUUAUGGAGGACAGGAGGUUUAGUAAUGGGCAGUUAUGGAGGACAGGAAUUUAUAGAGGACAGGAGGUUUAGUAAUGGGCAGUUAUAGAGGACAGAAGGUUUAGUAAUGGGCAGUUAUCGAGGACAGGAGGUUAUAGAGGACAGGAGGUUAUAGAGGACAGGAGGUUUUUGUAAUGGGCAGUUAUAGAGGACAGGAGGUUUAGUAAUGGGCAGUUAUGGAGGACAGGAGGUUAUAGAGGACAGGAGGUUAUAGAGGACAGGAGGUUUAGUAAUGGGCAGUUAUAGAGAACAGGAGGUUUAGUAAUGGGCAGUUAUGGAGGACAGGAGGUUUAGUAAUGGGCAGUUAUGGAGGACAGGAGGUUUAGUAAUGGGCAGUUAUGGAGGACAGGAGGUUUAGUAAUGGGCAGUUAUGGAGGACAGGAGGUUUAGUAAUGGGCAGUUAUAGAGAACAGGAGGUUUAGUAAUGGGCAGUUAUGGAGGACAGGAGGUUUAGUAAUGGGCAGUUAUAGAGGACAGGAGGUUUAGUAAUGGGCAGUAGUAUAUAUAUCCCUGUGUUUCUGCCUAAACGUGCUGUGUAAGAGUAGAGCAGGGCUGCGAUGUAUUCCUUUUUCUUUAUUUUAGGUAUGAUAGCGUUUAAUGUCUUUAACUACCAAUAUCUAUAUAUCAAGCUAUAGAAAUAUAGAUCUGUGUCAAAUGUUCAUUUACAGGAUGUCCUGUGAAACCAUGUGGUCAGUAUUGUAAACCAGCAGAGAGAGAGAAAGAGAGAGCAGAUCUAUGUGUUUUAAUCGUAGACAUACAAUCUCUAAAACGGGACCUAGAACCUCUAAAACCCAUGUGACAAUUUGACUGGUAGACUCCACGAUUUUACACUCCCGUAAUGACUGCCAGUACACCCCAUUAUGACAUCGUUGACUGGAAUGGGGAGGUGUGUUCUAUAGAUUCUAUGUUCUACGGUUGUAUUUCUGGGCUGCUGCUGCUGCUGCUGCUGAUCUUUGUGUCUCUCUGGACUGAUGGAAGGAGAACCUUCCUGCAUGAUCCGUUACUAUGAUUUAAACAAACUGUAGAAUAAUGAUUUCUUAGCAGUUAAACAGAGAGUUGGUCCAGUGUGUGUGCUUUUCUCUAAUAUAUCUCUAGUAUAGUAUGCAAUACAACUGCUUCUACAUGUGCCACAGUAUUUUACAGAAAAAUAUAUAUU